ACUGAUUUGCAGAGAAGGCAGCCUAGCUUGAAUACGCAUAGAACCGCUAGAAGAAAAUCGUGAGCAUCCUCAAAUUAGAACUCUGUGCAUUUUUGCCUUGGGUAUUAGCUAUCGCUAGUAACUGCAUGUGUGACAAUGAAUACUCUCUAUGAAAUUCCAGUUUCGAGCAGUGAUCGAGUGCUUGCAUCCACAUGUGAGAUAAGAAGCGGGCCUGCAACAGGCUUAUAUGCAAAACGUCCGAGUGCAGUACAGGCUAAACAAGCGGGAUUGCGGUCUCACUAGAUCGGAGUCGACACUCAGCCGAAUAGCUAAUCCUGUUUCCAACGCGUGGGUAGAGCAAAUCGGUCAUCGGCCUUUGUCUUUAGAUUUACGUGUUUUUUCUGUCCCUGAUACGUAAGAAGAUCAGAUCGACGUUUAAUGACGCCUCACCCACGUUCAUAGCUAGAGUCAGCCAGGCCAACUAGUCAACGACGUGGGUAGAUUAAGUUAACUUUCCGUCGACAAUAAGUAUAUGUAUCGAAAGCAGAUUCCAUUGUUGGACAGACUUCACCACCGGAAACUAAUAUAUUACGCCACAUAGAAAAUAGAUAGGUAUAGCAGAAGCUGGUUAAAUGAAAAGGCCAUAGGAAGUUCGCAAAGGAUACUUGCCAACAUAGCUAAGUAAUCUAGAAUAGAUUAGAAGAACCUGAACUGCUAGGCUGCAAAAAACCUCCCCUGAAGAAUGAGCGUAUCGAUUUCUGCAAUGUAUUGCAAAGAUUUCCGUUUCUGUUCAAACUCUUCUGUUAUACUAUAGUUCAUA